rnacentral:rRNA from 1 species
AGCGCAGGCGGCUGUGCAAGUUGGGCGUUUAAUCUACGGGCUUAACCCGUAUCAGCGUUCAAAACUGUACAGCUUGAGUGAAGUAGAGGUAGGCGGAAUUUCCGGUGUAGCGGUGGAAUGCGUAGAUAUCGGAAGGAACACCAGUGGCGAAGGCGGCCUACUGGGCUUUAACUGACGCUGAGGCUCGAAAGCAUGGGUAGCAAACA